rnacentral:rRNA from 1 species
UGGGGAAUCUUGGACAAUGGGGGCAACCCUGAUCCAGCGAUGCCGCGUGAGUGAAGAAGGCCUUCGGGUCGUAAAGCUCUUUAGGCUGGGAAGAAGUGUGGUGGAGGAAAUGCCAUCAUGUUGACUGUACCAGCAGAAUAAGCACCGGCAAACUCUGUGCCAGCAGCCGCGGUAAUACAGAGGGUGCGAGCGUUGAUCGGAGUUACUGGGCGUAAAGGGCGCGUAGGCGGUUAUAUGAGUGUGAUGUGAAAGCCCCGGGCUUAACCUGGGAAGUGCAUCGCAAACGAUAUGACUGGAGUAGAUGAGAGGGUGAUGGAAUUUCCGGUGUAGCGGUGAAAUGCGUAGAGAUCGGAAGGAACGUCAAUGGCGAAGGCAGUCACCUGGCAUCAUACUGACGCUGAGGCGCGAAAGCGUGGGGAUCGAACAGGAUUAGAUACCCCUGUAGUCC